rnacentral:lncRNA from 10 species
GUGAGGGCAUGUCGGUGAUGAAACUAUCACUACUGUUCAAGGUGCCAGAAGUUUGACUUACCAUCGCUUUUGAACAAUCAUCACUACAUGUCAGCGUGGGAAAAAGAAUAAAAUAACAUCUUAAUAUUAUUAUGAAAACAGUUUUGGCCUCAUGGACCCCUUGAAAACCUAUCAGGCAGAGAACAGAGGAGAGAUGAGGCAAAAGGGAAUAUUAGACAGAUUCAAAGCUUGAAAAGGACUUGAUCCACUAUGAGGCCAUUAAUGAAGGAAUGCAGGCUGCCUGUAACAGUUGAAAAUCACCCCAGCCAACACCCAGCAAGGAAAUGGAGACCAUAGUCCUCUAACUGUAUGGAACUGAAUUCUGCCAACAAAGUGAAUAAGAUGGGAAGUGAAGACCCUCCCAGAGCCUCCAGAAAGGAAGAGAGCCAUUCAGACACCUUGAUUUCAGCCUUCUGAAACUUGGAGCAGAGAGCCGGCUGUGUCAACCUGAACCUGGGUUUUUAACCUACAAAACUGAGAAAUAAUGAAUAGUGAUUUUUUUUUUUAAAGAUGGAGUCUAGCUCCGUCACCCAGGCUGGAGUGCAGUGGCACGAAUAGUGAUUGUUUUAAGCCACUAAAUUUAUGGUAGUUUUGUUAGGGCAGCAAUAGAAAACUAAUACAU